AAUCCCCAAAUCUCAUUUCAAAAUUCAAAUCCACAGCUCCCUUCCCUUUUCAUUCUCUCUCCGAUUUUAGAUCUGGAUUUGCUUUGUCUUUGCCUUGCGUUCACCAUAAGCCACUACUCCAUGGCUGUUCGAGCCUGUGUGAAUCAGGAGAACACAAAAGACGAAAACCGUUUUGCACUGCCGUUCAAUUACCUCGGCAUCCUUCGUGUCCGUACGUCGGCGAAGCAAUUAGAAACCCUAGCUGGUGUCACGUGUCACCAGCAUCAAAGUAAGAGGAAUUCAUCAUCAUAUGUUCAUGUAUUUUCAUAUUAUGAGGUUAAUUGUGUGUUCGAAAUCGUGAACAAAGUCUCCUGAAUUACAUAACUCGCAGAAUUUCAGUGAAUUUUGGGAUGCAAGAUGUGAUUUGAAGAAGACAACAAGAGUAUGUAGUUCAUGCAAUCUUUAGGGUUUAUCUGGAGAUUUUAUGAGGUACAAUCAUAUGCACAACAAAGGGGCCAAGGGAUGCGUAAUAUCAGACAACGGUUCAGUAUGUGAUGCAAUUACGCCAAUUUGCAUCUUUUGGUGUGGCACUGUAACUUAUGAGGUGUUUGCAAAAUGCAAAGAGAGACAGAAGCCAUACGAAGAAUUGAAGCAUUGCACAGUGUUCUUAAAGAGGUUAACCCUCUGUUUCAUGGUUUUAUAAGAAUUUGCUUGAUAAAGAACUUGGUGGAGGACUAUUCGUAGUGGCAUUUUAUCAAAAAAAUGUGUUGGAUGAAAAAAAAAACAAACAAAACAUUUUUUCUUACAUACAAUGACAAAAAGGUGAAAGUAAGUUACAUAUUGGUUUAAUAGAUUUCCGUUAUACUUAUUUUAUUUGCUUUAUUCUGUUUCAUUGGUGUUUUAUUCCUUAUAGGCCAAACGGGCCUAUUCAAGCAUUCCCACAUGCCAGAUGGAUCUCCUGAUGUGUAUGUUCACCCUAUGAUGCGUCCUUGCCAUUUAACGCCCAUUUCUCUCAAUUUGCACCCAGCCAGUUGGGUCAACAGCAGCGAUUCAGUCACGGGCGGUCAAUGGGUGCUCGUGGUGGUGAAUGGAAUCAUGUUAAGGUCCAGCCCCCACUUUCCAAUUACAGCUCAGCGGGUCAACGUUCCCACGGAAGCAACAACAAUGCGCCAUGGGGGCGUAGGGGCAACCAUCCGAUAGCGACCAAUAUUAUACCAUCUUCACAUGGUGGAAACAAAUAUGGAUGGAUUGCAUGAUGGUUACAGUUUGAAAUUUUAUAUAGAAAAUAUGGACUGUAAGGAAGGAAUGUUGUGAUGAUAGCUGGUAGUUGAAGUAUGACUUAUGAUGUGCAUUCAUAGUGAUUUUUUUUAUUUAAUACUUAUGAAACUGGCUUCCUUCUAUUUCUUCAUUUGUUGCUAUUUUUAUUUCUUCUUUUGUGGGAUGUCGAAAACAAGUAGGCGUAAAAGGGUUUGUUCAUUUUUGUUUAA